GACGAACCGUGCGAACGUUGUUCGGAAUCACUGGGCUUAAAGGGCGCGUAGGCGGAGGGUCCAGUCGGUGGUGAAAUCCUUCCGCUUAACGGGAGAAUGGCCGCCGAUACUGACUCUCUCGAGGGAGGUAGGGGCAUGUGGAACUUCCGGUGGAGCGGUGAAAUGCGUAGAUAUCGGAAGGAACGCCGGUGGCGAAAGCGACGUGCUGGACCUCUUCUGACGCUGAGGCGCGAAAGCCAGGGGAGCAAACGGG
rnacentral:rRNA from 1 species